rnacentral:lncRNA from 1 species
GAAAUGCAUUUACAGUUUACAAGGAAAUCAAUAGAAGCCUCUUUGAGAUGAUGGGCUUGUGGUCCAUGGAAAACUGUUUCAUUCAUGGCAGAUCAGGUCAGGAACAGGUGGCUUUUGCAGGGCAGGCCUAGACUUUCAUUUCCUUUCACAUCUCCAGGAAAGGAGGUCCAUAUCUAUCAGUCUCACAAAGUCAUCAGUUAGUUGCUAGCCACUUAUAACCCACAUUCUACAUCAGUUUCUUUUGUCUCAAGAUAUGAUUUCUUUUUUUUUUUCACAGUCAACAAAGAUGAAAAAAAAUUUGAGAAGUAGAAACAUGCUGAGAAUUAAACAGGAAGCUAGAUGCUAUUUCCAUAAAAGUGUAUGAAUUAAGAUGCUUUUAUAAAGAGGAGGAAAUGAAGCUUAUGUUUUGUGAGUUUUAAAAAUAAGUUGCUGCAGCUCUGGUGCAUUACAUUCAAAUAAAAGGUCAAGAAAGCUUGCUUUGUCACAUGAGCUUGCACUGUUACACACAUUUUCGUUUACAAAUGUCUGGAAUUAAUACAUUCAUUUAUAGCUGAAAGGUAUCCAUGUCCACUUAGGCUUUGUAUAGCUUAUUACUCCUAUUUUUUUUUUACUCUUCUCUUCUAAUUAUAAGGAAAGUUCAGCAAGCACUGAUUUGCAAAUCUCCAGAGUGGAAGCAAAUGAAGGUAGGAUAUGAUGGCAGGCUGAAGCAGGUGAUUUUGCGAAUGUCUAGGACGUUUCUGGAUGCCAUACAUAUUCUCAGCAGCCACAUGAGACUCCCGAAGAAUACAAGCUGGAAACCAAAGCCACUUAAUUCUAAGGUUACUUAGGGCAUAUAGCUGCAAAAGGUUUUGAUCAAUCAAAGAGAAAAAAGGAACUUAAAGAAGAAAGCUUGGAUCACGGGGAUUAUCGAGUUGUGAGAUCAAGGGAAGAAGCUGAAGACUUAAAGAAAAACAGAUGAAACUGAAAAGAAGAAUUGUGCUAUACAGCUUUCAAAGUGAAUGCAAUGAUGAAAGUGAGGACGGAAGAUUUGUCUGAAUGACAUUGCCUGAUGUACCGAAUUUGUCUGUCACUGAGCAGCCUAACCAACCAGCUCUUUGAAAGCCUUCUCCGGCAUAAAUAUCAUCAUCUGGCUGGAGCAGGAAUUGCCAAGGACUAUAAGAUGCGAGUGAAAUGACUUGUUUAGGUGUGAAACAAGCAGAAGCCUUUUUUUUUGAGAUGGAGUGCCAAAACUUAUGAAACAGGGGGGAGCCCUGCAGCCCCAGAGCUGCUUAUUUGUUAUGUGGCUAAGACUGUGUGUGAUGCUGGGAAUGCGAACGGGGCUGCAGCUCAGCUAGUCCUCCACAGGAAUCCCUGUUUGGCCUAGAUUCACAGAUCUAAAGAAAUAGUGCACGCUUGCAGGCUUGAUGUACUCUAGCCAAAUAUUACAGUGCAAUGCCUUAAGGGGAUUCUGCUCAAGAGAGACAACUUUAUAGUUAAAAAAAGGAAUUUGAUUUAAUGCAAAAAAGUAAAUAUCCGGUCUGCAUGUGCUAUACAAAUAAUUGCUGGAUGACAAAGAAAAAGUAACCUGGGUCUUUCAUCAUGAAAUUCUCUGGACAAUCCUCCCUCUGGUGUGAUUUGGUGAAAGUUUUAUAAAUUCUGUGCAAAAUAUCUUUGCAGCCAUUUUGAGUACCCAGAAUUACAAAAUAACAGUAGCUGCAGUAGUAAUAGCAAUCUGUUAAUUGCUUGGAAAACUUUGGCUGAUCUAUGAUUUGGAAGUAGAUAGUGCGGUAAUACUAUCAUUAUUCUUUAAAUUUUGAUCUAAUUUUCACACUAAAAGAAUUCCUCCUGCCAUUAAUAAAUUGGCCAAUCAUAUAUAUGUAAUAUAGGUU